UACGAGGGGUGCAAGCGUUGCUCGGAAUUAUUGGGCGUAAAGGGUAGGUAGGUGGUCUCAUUUGUCUGGGGUGAAAGCCUUGAGCUUAACUCAAGAAGUGCCCCAGAAACGGUGAGACUCGAGUCCUGGAGAGGGUCGUGGAAUUCCCGGUGUAGCGGUGAAAUGCGUAGAGAUCUGGAGGAACACCAGAGGCGAAGGCGGCGACCUGGACAGGCACUGACACUCAACUACGAAAGCGUGGGGAGCAAACAGG
rnacentral:rRNA from 1 species